UACGUAGGGUGCGAGCGUUGUCCGGAAUUAUUGGGCGUAAAGAGCUCGUAGGCGGUUUGUUGCGUCGGCCGUGAAAACCUGCAGCUUAACUGUGGGCCUGCGGCCGAUACGGGCAGACUUGAGUUCGGUAGGGGAGACUGGAAUUCCUGGUGUAGCGGUGAAAUGCGCAGAUAUCAGGAGGAACACCGGUGGCGAAGGCGGGUCUCUGGGCCGAUACUGACGCUGAGGAGCGAAAGCUAGGGGAGCGAAUGGG
rnacentral:rRNA from 1 species